rnacentral:lncRNA from 1 species
AAAUGAGCAAAAAGGUAAAGAAGACAUAACAGUUUUUAUACUGGUUCAAUACCGGUGUAGUACUUACGUCAAGUUCCCUUAGGUCACAAGGGUUCUCUGCUUGUAUAAAUAUUUACAGCACUAAUGGUUCUAGUACGUUCACCGCCAACAAUAUAGAGUAACAAUGAUUUUCUUUCCAAUGUUGACACAACUCUCGUUUUAUGCUCUAACUCUUCUAUCUUUCGUGACACUUGUAGACUAAAAAAUAGAGUGUUUGUACUAAGAACUAGAAAGUCUUAGAAACAAAUGAUAUAGUUUCGUGCCUUUGAAUGUGAUAUUCUGCUUCUUCCGUUAUAGCUUGAUGAAUCUUCUGUUUUCUUGUCUUUUGGGAUUGAAAUGCAGCUAUUCGAGGAUUCCUUUCGUUGUGAGGCAUAUAAAUCUGAGAGAAAGACACAAGGAUAGCCUCAUGAAACUAGCUUGAAAUGGUAGCUAGAUUCAUUCUUAAUCUUGAGGAAUUGCUUCCACCAUUUUUCCUUGAUUUGAGCUUCUGCAGAAUCUUCUGGAUUUGAUCUCUGGCCUUGAUUAGCUCUCUUCCUAUUCUUGCGCGCUUGAGAAUCUUUGACAAUGCUGAUUGAUUGACUUCCCUUCUUGUACUUUAACUGAUUGAUUUAUUUAUGUAAAGCAAAAUUCAAAAUACAUAGCCGUUGAGUAGGAUCUUCUUUCCUUUCAUCAACAUUAUUGCUUAUCGAAUAUGCAUACAAAAAUAUAUCAUUAGUCAAGGCUUCUUUUAGAUUAUUGAUCGUUAUUAAAAUUAUAAACUUAACCUAAAGCUCUAAGGCUACUUAAACCAUCAAAGCAGCAACAAAACCUUUGGUAAAAUCAUAGAAAUCACCUAACAAUUUUUCAACUUUUCUGUUCAAAGUCCAAAGAAUAUACUGUAAGUUUAAGCUACAAACUUAACUAUUCUAAAAAGAUAAAUAUUAAACAGUAUAACUUCUACUACAAUUAGACAUUUAAUCAACUAAAAUGAGAUCAAUAUAAUGCAUCAAAUAUGAACCACAAAAUCAACAGAAAAUUAGGCCGAACACCCAAAAUGCAUGUUACUUUUCCAACGAACAACCAAAUAAACACAAGCAAGGACAUAAUAACUGUAUGGGUCAAAAUCGAACAAGAGAAAUUCGAAUACGUGGUGACGAUUGUCAUGAGUGACCUGCAAAUCAAUAUGGGCAGCUUGGCCGAGGUCGAUCAGUGGUCAAUAGAACAAGUCUCUGAGCAGUUCAUCAGGGCCGAGGUUGAGAAACAUGGAUAGAUUUGACAGCUAGUAUAGCUUUGGAACCUUCAAAGGGAAUAUUCUAAUAUUCCCUCUGUUUGUACCUUUUAGGUUUCUUUGGGAAUACUCCAUAUAAAUAGCAGGAGAGAUAAGGCAAAAGGCAUAUAAGUUUCUGUAUGAUAAGAACUCUUUUGAAUAGCAGGCUCUUUAGAUAAAUACAAGAACACCUUUCUAAAGAGGUUGGUCUUUUUGGAUUAUUCCUUGUCAUUUCCACUAGAUCCGAGAAAGUCUUCAAUAUUCUUAUAAGCUUUUUGUCACUCAUCAUUGUCAGAGGGGGGAAUCAUCCAGCUCAUUCAAUAUUGGGUGAAUCUUCUCCUUUAUUUACAUUUAGUGUCAUUUAUUGUAUUUAUUGCUUAUUAUUAUUUUCAUUCCUUAACAAGUGUAAUAUUUAAUGGCUAUUUCAUUAAAUUUAUUUUAACACGGUCCCACAUUAUUCGAAUAAACCUAUUUUGAAUAUAAAGUCAUUAUCUUUAACUAGGAUUUAUCCUUUUAUUUAAUUAGUUGGCAAAAUACAUAAGUUGCCACCUGACCUAUGACCCAAAUCCACCUUACAUACUUUUUGUGAGCGAAAAUUACUUUACACACGCAACCUUUCUAAAGUGUGUCUAAGAUACACUACUUUGUCAGAUGGGACAUGCGUGUUUAACAAAUAAAAGUGAGCGCGUCAGACCUAUACAUGUUUUGUCGACAUGCCCAUCUGUGGCUUUAUUUGAACUCCUCAGAUUUAAUAAAGUUGAUCUGAUGGCCUACAUAAUUAUUUUCUUUAAUCCCUUUUCUUUUUACCAAAAUGUGUCUCUCUAGCCUCCAUUUUCUUUUCUCAAGAUUUUGUUCAAUCAAUCUUAUCGGAUAACACAAUAAACUCUGGCGAAAGAACUUUACGACUCAUGUUAUUUUUAUUUCUAUUGUUUGCUAAAAUAUACUCCAACGAAAGAACUUUAUGGUGCAGGUUCAACGCCACUACUAUUUUCGGUCACUAACGACGAAAAAACUUUACUUUUUUUUUCUUUUCAGCAAAGAGCUAGCAUUUUUUAGAAUUUUUUAUUUUAAAUUUGAAAUAGAAUCUAAAGUUGCAGAUUUUGAUUUUGGUAAAUAGAAAUUUCAAAUUUUGAUAAGUUUGGGUGCUUCAAUAGUAUGGAUAGGUGCUUGAUUCAUGUUAAUAUUUUGUUCUAGUGGGGAUUUGCCAUGGUUGUUGGAGUUUAGGGGAGGAGGUCGACGGGUAAGGGGUUUAGAAGAAAAUGAGAAACGUGGGGGAGGGAGAUUUGUUUCUUUUUCAUUUGUUUUCUUUUAAAUAUUAUUAAUUGGUGUAAAUUUAGUAUUUUAUUUUUUUCUUGAGUUAAGAUACGUGUCAUGACCUUAUCGGCGCGUGACCUUACACAUAUUUUGAAAAGUUGGUCAAGAAAAAGUGUUGAGCUACACUUUAGAAAGGUUACGUAUGUAAUAUUAUUAUCGUCCACAAAAAAAUGUGUAAGGGGGAUUUGGGCAAUAGAUUAGAUGGGUACUUAUGUAUUUUUCCUAAUUAGUUUAACAAGAAGUUUUAUACUUUUUGGUCAACAAUUUGGCACCGUCUGUAGGGAAUUUCUAGUCAAAGUUUUAGUUUCUUUCACAUCUAAAAGAAAGAAACACAAACCUUAUCUUUUCUUGCGUGCAUUGUUUAACAUGGCAGAUAAUAGAGAGAAAAGAAUGAAAGCAGUAGCCGGUCUUACUACCAACCUCCUAAACACCCUCAACGAAGCCACCGGAAAGACAAUGAGGAUAUGACACAAAAUGCCUCCCCUAGGCGGAGUGGUUCACCCCUCUCUCACGACAACAUCACAACCUGACACGGCAAAGAGGUCUCUACAUCCACAACAAAAGAGGCACCACCAACAAUGAAAAUGCUACUCGAUGCAUGGUUAAAAAAACAUGCUCACCAGCAUUCUUGACAAUCCCUCCCAAAGGACGAACAGAGAAACUGCGAGAGUUUGUGUCACACCAGUGACAUAUAAGCAGCACGACCCUCCACGUGUGACAGGUAUUACUCACAGUGUUGGAGAUGCAGGCAACGAUACCCUCACGACCAUUUUGAGGAAUAUGGAGGAGAUAGAGAAAGAGAACAAAAUGCUCCACAACCAAAUGAAAAAGCAUCAAGAAAGGGUAGAUAAAAUACCAGGCGCCCCAAAACCUUGACCAAAAAGGGGCCCAGCCGGUUCGUUGAGAAAUCGUACAUUGGAGAAGCUGCACCACACGCCAUACCUAAAACCUUCAAUAUGCUGUAAUACUUGAAAAUAUACGAUGGCACGACGGACCCUGAGGAUCAUGUGACUCACUAUGUCACCGCAGUAAAAGUAAACGACCUCGCCAAAGAACAAGUGUCUUCCAUAUUGCUGAAGAAGUUUGGUGAAACCCUCACCGGAAAAUGUCAUGCCCCUUUUUUUCCUCGCAGAGUCCGGGUUUCGAUAUCUUGGGGGCAACUCCUUUCCUUUUGGGAAUUGGGUAAGACAUUUUGAAGAGUCGCCACCUACCGGAUUAAGGUGUGUUAGGGCACCUAGAACAAAUAACUUUUGUACUAGUUUACAUUAUCAGAGAUUGGGUAGGGCUCGAAAUUACCUUGAGGGGAAGGUGUUAGGCACCCCUCGAGAUCCACAGUGGUGGGUCCCGGCCAAACUCAAUUUAAGGGAAUUAGUCUUAUAAGCUGAUAAACAAACAUAUAUUACUUUUAAGAACCAAGAGUAAAAAGGUCCUAGGUUUUUUAGCCUAUAGGAUCACUUCUAUGCAAUACUUUGUAAUUAUCCUCAAAUAGAGGUGUUACGCGUAGCAUUAGUGCACAGGUCAUCAUAUCCUUUACUAACUGAUUACCCUCCCUUAAUUAUUACCUACGUGUUCUAACAACAUCGAAUACGUAUCCUAUGAGUGCACUACCCGUUCCUUACCUGUGGCCCUGGAGGUGUUAGGACCUCUAUGUAAGAUGGUUCUAGACUCUCCUAUGGUGCUUAAAAGGAGAAAAUAUAUGCGAACACACACAAACAGGUAGGAAGGUCAUAUAAAAAGCAACUAAGGGGCUCAUAUUUACCUCCAUAAAUAAAUAAAAUAAGUGCACGCCAUUCAAACAAGCAAUUCUCUAUAAUUUUAAGAGUCCUAUAGGCAGGAUAUCUACAUGAGUAUAAAUCAGAAUAUGCAGCAGUUUUAUUAUGGCGAGUCAGUGAAUACUUAUCAGUUUGCCUACUAAUUUUUAUCACGCACUGAAUCUGAGCACGUUUCAAGCAGCAAGAAAAUCACAACAUCUUCCUGUUCAGCAUCUUGGAAACAUCAUCUAGCUUGGAAAUGAGAAGAAAGAAAGAGAAGCUUUUAUUGAAUUGUUGAUAAAAAAUAAAAAAUAUAUUUGUGUCUAGAAAUAUCUAAAAGCCG